GACAGAGGAGGCAAGCGUUGUUCGGCGUCACUGGGCUUAAAGGGCGCGUAGGCGGCCAAGUAAGUGUCCUGUGAAAUCCCGCUGCUCAACGGCGGAACUGCAGGGCAAACUGCGUGGCUUGAGGUCGGUAGAGGUGACUGGAACUCUAGGUGGAGCGGUGAAAUGCGUAGAUAUCUAGAGGAACGCCGGAGGCGAAAGCGGGUCACUGGGCCGAAUCUGACGCUGAUGCGCGAAAGCGUGGGGAGCAAACAGG
rnacentral:rRNA from 1 species